AUUUUUGCCGAAUUCCUUUUUAUUAAUUUAUUAAUUUAUUAACUUUUUUUAUAUAAAAAUAUACUAAUUUUAUCAUUAUCUCUAAUUUUUUUUAAUUAAAAAUUAUUUUUUUAUAUAAAAUUAAAAUAAUUUAAAUUUUAUAAUUAAAUGAAAUUAUUUAUAAAAAAUUACAAUUUAUAAACAAUAUAAAUUUUAAAAUUUUCAUUUAUAUUAAAUUAUUUAUAAAAAUUUAAUUUAAAGCUUAUCCCCUAAAAUAUUUAAUUAAUUUUUAUUUUUAUUAAUAAUUUAAUAAAAAUAAUAUAAAUUAAUUUAAAAUUAAAUUUUUUUCUAAAAAAACUAGAUAUUUUUAAAAACGAUUAACAUUUCAUUUCAAAUUAAUUAUUUAAAAUAAUUAUUCAACAUUAACUUUAUUAAUUAAUUAUCUCUUUUAAAUUCGAGAUAUAUUUCUCUAAAUAUUUUAUUUAAUAAACUCUGAUACACAAGAUACAAUAAUUAAAAUUUACUUUCUAAUAAAUUAAUUUUUCAAAUUUUUCAAAAUUCUUUCACAAUACAUAAUAAACUAUAAAAUAAUAAAUUUUUUUCUUAAAAAAUACUUUAACCCCCAUUAAAUAUUUUGUAUUUAAAAAUUCUUUUUUUAUUUAUAUUUUUAUUAAUUUUACCCCC
rnacentral:rRNA from 1 species